rnacentral:rRNA from 1 species
AGUGAACGCUGGCGGUAGGCCUAACACAUGCAAGUCGAACGGCAGCACAGUAAGAGCUUGCUCUUACGGGUGGCGAGUGGCGGACGGGUGAGGAAUACAUCGGAAUCUACUUUUUCGUGGGGGAUAACGUAGGGAAACUUACGCUAAUACCGCAUACGACCUACGGGUGAAAGCAGGGGAUCUUCGGACCUUGCGCGAUUGAAUGAGCCGAUGUCGGAUUAGCUAGUUGGCGGGGUAAAGGCCCACCAAGGCGACGAUCCGUAGCUGGUCUGAGAGGAUGAUCAGCCAGACUGGAACUGAGACAGGGUCCAGACUCCUACGGGAGGCAGCAGUGGGGAAUAUUGGACAAUGGGCGCAAGCCUGAUCCAGCCAUACCGCGUGGGUGAAGAAGGCCUUCGGGUUGUAAAGCCCUUUUGUUGGGAAAGAAAAGCAGCAGGUUAAUACCCCGCUGUUCUGACGGUACCCAAAGAAUAAGCACCGGCUAACUUCGUG